GACAGAGGGUGCAAACGUUGCUCGGAAUUACUGGGCGUAAAGCGCGUGUAGGUGGAUUGGUGUGUCAGAUGUGAAAUCCCUGGGCUCAACCCAGGAACUGCACCUGAAACUACCAGUCUUGAGUGGUGGAGAGGGAAGUGGAAUUCCUGGUGUAGAGGUGAAAUUCGUAGAUAUCAGGAGGAACACCAGUGGCGAAGGCGGCUUCCUGGACAGCAACUGACGCUGAGACGCGAAAGCGUGGGGAGCAAACAGG
rnacentral:rRNA from 1 species